GGAAAGGUGGCUGAGUGGUCUAAAGCGGCACCGUGCUAAGGUGUUGUCUGGGCAACCGGACCGUGGGUUCAAAUCCCACCCUUUCCGCAA
rnacentral:tRNA from 2 species